GUUUGGGGGAACAGAGGCCAUGUGCAUUCCAGAAGAUGGAUCCAUUUUGCAAAGUCUCUUCUGAAACAGAGUUUUGCUUAGUUUCAACAAAAUAGUUUUAAUAAUUUCUUGUCUCUUCUUGCAAAAUUACAGUAACUAGAACAGUCAUUUGGAGGGCUUUUGCUGCAAUGUGAUAUCAAAACGAGUGUCUGGUUCCCCCAUAAAACACUAGAAAUAAGAAAGAAAAAAAAACGUUAGUUUUACUACAUUGUCACAUCUUUAUAACUCACUUUCACUUAUUUCAAAAUAACCAACUACAGUACAGUGUUAACCGCAAGAGCAAAUGACUACCGUCACUGCAUGCGCUUACGUGAACUCUGGAGUAGGCGCAUGCGAUUACAAAAAUUCUUCCUUCAGCAGCGUCGUCUGUGCGCCGAAUCAAUUUUGGAGUCGACUCUUGAUUCGCCUAGACUCAGAGAAUCAGUUCUUUAUGGGAGCGACUCCCAGGUCUACAUAUAAUUAGGCUUGAGGGCUUUCGGUAACUAGGGAAAUACUGAAACCCGACCUGUCUAUUAAACCAGUUCCCUUAGAGGAAACACAGUAGCUAGAGUGCUACAUAUGACAGCCUGCUAAACAAACCUAGAUAUUUUUUUCCAAGUACAAAAAUAGCUCACUCAGCAAUGCAAGGCCACAGGGGCACAUUUUAAAGAGACGGAUAAUCCACUUGUUUUUAUGAACACUGCCCAAGCAGGCCAAAGCCUCUUGCAGGGAAGGGGGGUCAUGUUGAAACGUAAUAUGGCUGGGUUUCCUAUCAACCACACAAUCCCGCAUUACUUAUGAUUUACACCGCUAGGCUUGAAUCGGAUGAAAGUUACCGACGGUAUUCUUACUCACCGCGCUACUGUUAUAGUCCUAUUUAAACGGCACUGAUCCUGGAACAGUCCAUGGCGAACCGACCGAAGGCCUCCUUCUUCCUCGAUGCUGUUUCGGCGGGUUGCAAAUCAGCAGACAGACCACUGUCGCCAUAGCUUUUUGAUCUCGAGUGCUCAUUGGUCGAUGUUACUGUCAAUCAAGGGCCACUCGUACGUUGUGUUGUUGAUUCCAAUGUCAAUCAUUGCGUCAUUAUAAAAUGGGCGGAACAUCCGGAGCUUUGCCUGGUCCGACAACAAAGACAGAGGAGCGAUUUAAUGGUUUUAGCUUCAUCAAAUUGUUAUGAAUUGUAUUGUAUCCGUAUUAUUUAGCUUUACACCUCGCUAAAUAAUGAUUGAAUUAAGGUUAUAUUUUAAUUACGAUUAUAUUCCAAACAUUAAAGCUCAAUGCAGGGUCAGGUGUAGAUUUGCUAGAAAAGCAUAAAUGAAGACUACUUCAGCAGUCUGGAAACGCACUGUGUUUGGCAGACUGAUAAACAGCCCACCCCACUUGAAACACUAUCACACAACAACAUUCAGAGCCCCUGCGGCUGCUGAUGAUAAAUGAUCUGCCUCUCAACUGCCUCCACGUUCGGAACAGAUAAGGAUAAUGAAAGCUAUGGCACAAACUUCAUACUUAGGAGUUUGUAGAUUUUAAAGGGUUCUGAUUUAAAAAGAAACAUUCACUCAAAUUUUUACA
ensembl:lncRNA